GUGGGGAAUUUUGGACAAUGGGCGAAAGCCUGAUCCAGCAAUGCCGCGUGUGUGAAGAAGGCCUUCGGGUUGUAAAGCACUUUUGUCCGGAAAGAAAUCCUUUGGGUUAAUACCUCGGAGGGAUGACGGUACCGGAAGAAUAAGGACCGGCUAACUACGUGCCAGCAGCCGCGGUAAUACGUAGGGUCCGAGCGUUAAUCGGAAUUACUGGGCGUAAAGCGUGCGCAGGCGGUUUUGUAAGACAGAUGUGAAAUCCCCGGGCUCAACCUGGGAAGUGCAUUCGUGACUGCAAGGCUAGAGUGUGUCAGAGGGAGGUGGAAUUCCGCGUGUAGCAGUGAAAUGCGUAGAGAUGCGGAGGAACACCGAUGGCAAAGGCAGCCUCCUGGGAUAACACUGACGCUCAGGCACGAAAGCGUGGGGAGCAAACAGGAUUAGAAACCCCAGUAGUCC
rnacentral:rRNA from 1 species